GUUGUGGCUCAGUGGUAGAGCACUUGCCUAGAAUGUGUGAGGCACUGGGUUCAAUUCCCUGGUACCACA
rnacentral:tRNA from 1 species